rnacentral:rRNA from 1 species
UACGUAGGGACCGAGCGUUGUCCGGAUUCAUUGGGCGUAAAGAGCUCGUAGGCGGCUAUUCAAGUCGAACGUGAAAUCUCGGAGCUCAACUCCGAAACUGGCGUUCGAUACUGGGUAGCUAGAGUCUGGUAGGGGGAUCUGGAAUUCCUGGUGUAGCGGUGGAAUGCGCAGAGUAUCAGGAGGAACGACCGGUGGCGAAGGCGGGAUCCUGGGCCAGUACUGAGCGCUGAGGAGCGAAAGCGUGGGGAGCAAACAGG